AAAUUGAAGAGUUUGAUCAUGGCUCAGAUUGAACGCUGGCGGCAGGCCUAACACAUGCAAGUCGAACGGUAACAGGAAGCAGCUUGCUGCUUCGCUGACGAGUGGCGGACGGGUGAGUAAUGUCUGGGAAACUGCCUGAUGGAGGGGGAUAACUACUGGAAACGGUGGCUAAUACCGCAUAACGUCGCAAGACCAAAGAGGGGGACCUUUGGGCCUCUUGCCAUCAGAUGUGCCCAGAUGGGAUUAGCUUGUUGGUGAGGUAACGGCUCACCAAGGCGACGAUC
rnacentral:rRNA from 1 species